rnacentral:rRNA from 1 species
CCUACGGGCGACAGCAGUGAGGAAUAUUGGUCAAUGGCCGCAGGGCUGAACCAGCCAAGUCGCGUGAGGGAUGACGGUCCUAUGGAUUGUAAACCUCUUUUGUCAGGGAGCAAAGGGCGCCACGUGUGGCGCUUUGCGAGUACCUGAAGAAAAAGCAUCGGCUAACUCCGUGCCAGCAGCCGCGGUAAUACGGAGGAUGCGAGCGUUAUCCGGAUUUAUUGGGUUUAAAGGGUGCGCAGGCGGAAUGUCAAGUCAGCGGUAAAAUUUCGGGGCUCAACCCCGUCGUGCCGUUGAAACUGGCGUUCUUGAGUGAGCGAGAAGUAGGCGGAAUGCGUGGUGUAGCGGUGAAAUGCAUAGAUAUCACGCAGAACUCCGAUUGCGAAGGCAGCAUACCGGAGCGCAACUGACGCUCAUGCACGAAAGCGUGGGUAUCGAACAGGAUUAGAUACCCGUGUAGUC